UUCUCUCACAAAAGUUUUUCACCCAAAGAACUGAGUAUAACUUUUGGUAAUGAUUCAAAUAAUGUACAGUCACAUGGGACAUGCCACCGAGAUCUAUUUAGGUGCAUGAGCACCACCAACACAAUCUCAUGGCAAUUCAUAACUAUUUUACGUAAUUCUUAUGAAUUAAUACAAUCUCAUUUGUUCAUUUUCGUACUAUCUGCUGGCACCCCAGUGACGGGUAUGUUUAGGGGUGGGGUUAUGGGUGGACCUUCAUGCUUACUAAUAAUCAUACGUUUUUGUACACAUCGUACAAAUUCAUAUGAAAUCGCCACCUCAUAAGUUACCAGUUACGUUUUCCUUGAGAUCAGUUUGGACAGCACUGACUGGCUGAAGAACACGAACACACCUAAAUUCAGUUGUUGCCUAAUAGUUAGAGAGUUCGACUGGUCCCCAGUCACUCCCCGGGCGCCACAGCAAAAUUGCUGCCUGCUGCUCCAGCUGUGUGUCCAGAGUUUGCAGUGUGUGUGUGUGUGUGUGUGUGUGUGUGUGUGUGUGUGUGUGUUCACUACUCUCUCGUAAAAGAUCAUAAAAGAAAAGAAAUCCAUACGAAUCAAUGGGUUUAGAACAACAUGAAGGGUGAGUAGCUAAUUGAUGAGUGAAAUUUCAUUUUUUGUUGAUCUCUUUAAGAGCCCAUCAAAAAGAAUUGGGCACUGGUAAACAUCUACUAUAGUACAACAAAAUAAUGUUGCUUGCAAAAAAUAAAUAAAUAAAUAGUCAGAAUACACAGAUAUUUUCUUAUUGAUCAUCAAUGAAAAAAGAUGUUCUUUACAGAUAGGGUUAACAGGGAUGCCAUGUUGAGAUAAACAUGACCAGUCGUGUCUUAAAUGUAGUCAACAACAAACUCAUUUUCCAGAGAAGUGGGAAUGGCAGAGGAUGAUGCUCUCGGAUCGGUUGUUUAGAAAGAAAAAUAUAGAAUGUAAUGACUCUUUUACAAAUCUGAAACAUUUCCACAUAUAGAGAUAUUACACAAUCAUAAUAUUACACAAUAUUAGUAGAUACUACAAAAAUAAAAGCAGUCCUCAGACCAGUUAAUAUUGUCAGUACAGUAUGUAGAGUGUAUGGUGUGUAAGUCAUCUAUUAAUGGUAACUCAGCAAAGAAAUAACAAUAAACUGAUUUUAUAACUGAAAUAUUAGUGUAAAAUAGUUGUGGUUUAGUAUAUUCAUUCUUUAAAAAUACAUUUCAUACUCUCUAUUCCUCAAGAAUGCUUGUGUUUUGUCAGCGCUCAGAGGGAGUGAGUUUCUGUGGUAAGGAAAUACUCAGAAACAUCUGACGAACCACCACACACAUUUUAGGGUUCAGUUUAAGGUUAGAAGUAGGGUUAGGCUUCAUAGCUUGAACAACAUUAUUUAUAUCAACUAAUCUUUUUCCUCUGGUUUUAGGGAAACCAUGACUUAUAUUGAUUUUGAUAGGAAUGUUCCAGCAGUGAGGAACGUUUUAGUCACAUAUAGUGCAGAAUGCAUUAUUGCUGUGGCUUUUUAUGGCUAAGAUAUCAGAUGUAUACUUUUCUAAAACAUUACACAGCAAAUGUUCAGAGUUGGCAUGACUUUAAAGGGACAGCGUGACGCGCAGUGGCUUUAAUGGGACUUACAGAUUCAGGCUUUAACUGAGCCACUCUCUACGGUCCCAGCAUGUCUGUCAUCAGUAGCAGCAGGCUGACUCCUGAACACCUGGCCGAUCGCCUGCGGACGCUCCCAGAGGACACAACCACCAGCUGUAAAGUUCAGUGAGACUGAAGAACAGACGACAGAAUGGACAAAAGCCUGUCCCAGGCCUCCCAUCUGACUCCUCUGAAGCCCCUCCAAAGUCUUUGAAGUGCUUGCAAUAUGUUACUGUGCUUAGGGUCUUUUCAGUUGCAUGUGCUGAAUUAUGCGUUGAAAUCUGGAAGUGUGUGUACAUACAGUCCUGUACAAGAAUGAUGAACCGCAUUGGAAUGAUCUGCAUUUUCUUGGCUUUUUCAGUGGAACUUAAUGCCAGUUCACAGGUUCUGAAAGGAGGGCUCAUCUGUGUGACAGAUUACUGCAAAUCUGUCAGCUGCUCUUUAAAGCUACCAGACACAUCCACUAGAAACAUAUCACACUGGCUGGAAUUUCAAUGGAACAAUCACAUUACAGAUUAUGAUGACUUCAAACACGGGCCGUAUAGAUGCCCACUCCAGAGAGCACGCGAAGAUCACACCUGCACUUUCACUGUAAAUGGAAUAAUAACUGAUCUUGAUAAUGUUACUGUGAAACUUCAUUAUUUGGAAAACGGCAAUAAGAAUUCGUCUCCGCUGAAUGAUGGUUGGAAGCCAGCAAAAAAAUUAAACCAAAAGUCCCAUUUAAUCUGACAUUACAAUAUACAAAUGGGAUGUAUCAUUUCUCUUGGACUAAUGGAUAUGAAGAUGAACACUAUGGACAUUAUCUACCCAAUAUGUACAAAUUCCUGUACUACAAAGAUGGAGAUAAUGACAGCGUAAGAUUAAUUACAGUGAUGAUUCAGAUGUAAAUGUCCACCAUUCAUAGUGCAUGUUCUCAGAGCACAUCCUCUGUUUCACCCACAUCAAAACGCCAUCUAUAUGUGUGUUCUUGCUUUGAAAAUGAAUGUUUUCUAUAAUGGUUUCACAUUGUUACUUUUUAAAGGAGGUCAGUGUUCAUCCAGACAAUAAAAUGAUUCAGAUUGAUGAAAUGAAGCUUGAUCCAGUCACUAUAUACACUGCUAUGGUGAGGUCUGGGAUACGUGAACAUCGGACAUACAGAGGAACGUGGAGCAGCGCAGUAAAAUGGAAUACGACAUACAGAGAUGAAUACCGUGGUACUGAUUUACAUUUACACUCUCAUGUACUUGAUUUCUAAUCUAUCUGUUGCUGUGAGAUUAAAAGUGCAGUAAGCUAUUUCUGAGAAGCAUUGUUAAAAGUUGGUCAGACCGAGCAGCACGACACACAUCAGCAGUAGGGGGUGUGUCCACUCAUGAUGGGGGAGGAGACAGAGUGAGCCAAUCAGCAGUAGGGGGAGUGUCCACUCAUGAUGGAGGAGGAAAGAGAGAGUGAGCCAAUCAGCAGUAGGGGUGUGUCCACUAAUGAUGGAGGAGGAGAGAGAGUGAGCCAAUCAGCAGUAGGGGGCGUGUCCACUCAUGAUGGGGGAGGAGAGAGAGAAUGAGCAAGAAGGAGAUUUGAAGAAAGACUGUAGAAAGAGAGUUGGCUGAGAGACAUUACAAAAGAGAAAAGGUCAGAGGAAUUUCCCUGGGAAAAGAAGAGUUAUGAUCAGGCAAGAGCUUUAAGACCCACGUUAUAUAUAAUAUAAAUUAUAUAUAUUAUAUAAUAUAAUAUAUAAUAUAAAAGUGUUCCAGCACUGGGGAGACCUAAGCAGGAAGUACUGAAAAAGGACGCUGAGGUUGCAUUGUUUUUCCAUACGUGAGCAACAUUGGCUUUGCUAUGUUUCAAAGAGCUAAGAUAUGCUGUUGUUGUAGUAUUAGCUUUAGUAACAGGACAGAGAGAGUGAGCCAAUCAAUCUUGCUGGUCUUUAACCAGCCGAAGAGAGCGCAUGUCACACCUCUAUUCAUCAGUUUGCAUUGGCUGCCAAUAGUCGCUCGCAUCCAAUUCAAGGCUCUAAUGUUUGCCUACAGAACAACCACUGGCUCUGCACCACUAUACCUAAACUCACUACUUCAGACUUAAGCGCCCUCCAGAAGCUUGCGUUCUGCAAGUGAACGGCGCCUUGUGGGGCACAAAAUCACUCUCACAGACCUUCUCCUGGUCUGUGGCCUGCACUCAAGCCAGCAGAGAUCCUGAUUGAUCUGGGCCCGAUUGGUCGAUUCCCGUUGCUGAUAAGGACCACCCCAAACGCACUAUCGAGGCCGACAUUGUGCCAUUUGUUUUGCUCUGUUUUGGUCUCUUCUUUGAUUGUGUGUGCUUUGUAAAACUUGCUUUUGUUCAGUUUGAUUUACAAUUCUCAGUUUUGUAAAACUUGCUUUUUUUCUUCAGUUAUUGUGUAAAUAUUAUUUGUAAAAAAGUUUAAAAAGUUUAAGGGAAGUAGGGAGUGCAACACCAUUUCUUUUGCAUAUAUCAUUUAUUCUAUGUUUUGGGUUAAAGGAGCUAGGGAAGUUGCGUUGUAUUUUUCUUUUAAUGUGUGUGUGUGUGUUUUUUUAGGGAAUUUAGAGGGUACUAAAAUCAGUUAUUUUUGUUUGUUAUUUUGGCCUGGUCCACUCCUGAA